rnacentral:rRNA from 1 species
CACAAGACUCUCGGCAACGGAUAUCUCGGCUCUCGCAUCGAUGAAGAACGUAGCGAAAUGCGAUACCUGGUGUGAAUUGCAGAAUCCCGCGAACCAUCGAGUCUUUGAACGCAAGUUGCGCCCGAGGCCACCCGGCCGAGGGCACGCCUGCCUGGGCGUCACGC